CGCCACCCGCAUCCCAAUAAUAUACAUAGCUGUGUACAAAAAUGAUUCCCAAACUCCCCCCAUGCCAGACCACUUGAAAAUUACUGAGGUCUUGCUGGACCACUUAAUGAUUUUUCUGCCUAUUGUAACAAUUGUAAUGCACUGUGCUAGAUGCUAUAUUUUUCAUUAUAUUUGUAUUGCUUCUUUCGUUUCUUAUAUAGAGGCGUUUUCCCACUUGAGCGUCAUUAGCACGCACAUUCCCAUUGACACAUGCACUGCAAACGGCAACAGAAGGGGGUGGGGGAAUCCCCACUUGUGCGUGUCAUAGAAUGGAACCCUCUUAUAAAUGGGGAUUUUCCCCAUUAUACAUUUUUAUUGUAUUGCAAUUUGAAUUAUUUGAACUUAAAAGCAAUAAAAAUACAAAUCACAAU